CCUACGGGGGGCAGCAGUGGGGAAUAUUGGACAAUGGGCGAAAGCCUGAUCCAGCCAUGCCGCGUGUGUGAAGAAGGCCUUCGGGUUGUAAAGCACUUUCAGUGGGGAAGAAAGCCUUGGGGCUAAUACCCUCGAGGAAGGACAUCACCCACAGAAGAAGCACCGGCUAACUCCGUGCCAGCAGCCGCGGUAAUACGGAGGGUGCGAGCGUUAAUCGGAAUUACUGGGCGUAAAGCGCGCGUAGGCGGUCUGAUAAGCCGGUUGUGAAAGCCCCGGGCUCAACCUGGGAACGGCAUCCGGAACUGUCAGGCUAGAGUGCAGGAGAGGAAGGUAGAAUUCCCGGUGUAGCGGUGAAAUGCGUAGAGAUCGGGAGGAAUACCAGUGGCGAAGGCGGCCUUCUGGACUGACACUGACGCCGAGGUGCGAAAGCGUGGGUAGCAAACAGGAUUAGAUACCCGGGUAGUC
rnacentral:rRNA from 1 species